CCGCUGGACUCGGAAUGCCGUGAGACUUUGCGAGGGGCCUCCGUGUGCCAAAAAUAGGCCGUGGGCAAAGCCGCAUCCAUAAAUAACCGCCCGAAGGCCGGGGCGCCAAGUUCGUCCAGCGGAAAAAGGCCACAAAAACGGGUGGGCUAUAGCCUUGGGGGGUAGGGCUGGCCAACUUCGUCCGCCGGACUCGGAAUGCCGCGAGACUUUGCGAAGGGCCUCCGUGUGCCAAAAAUAGGGCGCGGGCAAUGCCGUGCACAAAAAUAACCGCGCGAAGGCCGGGGCGCCAAGUACGUCCAGCGGAAAAAGGACAGAAAAACGCGUGGGUUAUAGCCUUGGGGGGUGGGGCUGGCCAACUUCGGCCGCCGGACUCGGAAUGCCGCGAGACUUUGCGAGGGGCCUCCGUGUGCCAAAAAUAGGCCGUGGGCAAAGCCGCUUCCAAAAAUAACCGCCCGAAGGAGGGGGCACCAAGUUCGUCCAGUGGAAAAAGGCCACAAAAACGCGUGGGCUAUAGCCUUGCAGGGGUGGGGCUGGCCCACUUCGUCCGCCGGACUCGGAAUGCCGCGAGACUUUGCGAGGGGCCUCCGUGUGCCAAAAAUAGGCCGCAGGCAAAGCCGCGCCCAAAAAUAACCGCCCAAAGGCCAGGGCACCAAGUUCGUCCAGCGGAAAAAGGCCACAAAAACGGGUGGGCUAUAGCCUUGGGGGGUGGGGCUAGCCAACUUCGUCCGCCGGACUCGGAAUGCUGCGAGACUUUGGGAGGGGCCUCCAUGUGCCAAAAAUAGGCGUGGGGAAAGCCGUGCACAAAAAUAACAGCGCGAAGGCCGGGGCGCCAAGUUCGUCCAGCGGAAAAAGGCCACAAAAACGCGUGGGUUAUAGCCUUGGGGGGUGGGGCUGGCCACCUUCGUCCGCCGGACUCGGGAUGCCGCGAGAAUUUGCGAGGGGCCUCCGUGUACCAAAAAUAGGCCGCGGGCAAAGCCGCAUCCAAAAAUAACCGCCCGAAGGCCGGGGUGCCAAGUUCGUCCAGCGGAAAAAGGCCACAAAAACGGGUGGGCUAUAGCCUUGGGGGGUGGGGCGGGCCCACUUCGUCCGCCCGAUUCGGAAUGCCGCGAGACUUUGCGAGGGGCCUCCGUGUGAAAAAAAUAGGCCGCGGGCAAAGCCGCACCCAAAAAUAACCGCCCGAAGACCGGGGCGCCAAGUUCGUCCAGCGGAAAAAGGCCACAAAAACGGGUGGGCUAUAGCUUUGGGGGGUGGGGCAGGCCCACUUCGUCCGCCCGAUUCGGAAUGCCGCGAGACUUUGCGAGGGGCCUCCGUGUGCCAAAAAUAGGCGCGGGGAAAGCCGUGCACAAAAAUAACAGCGCGAAGGCCGGGGCGCCAAGUUCGUCCAGCGGAAAAAGGCCACAAAAACGGGUGGGCUAUAGCCAUGGGGGGUGGGGCUGGCCAACUUCGUCCGCCGGACUCGGAAUGCCGCGAGACUUUGCAAGGGGCCUCCGUGUGCUAAACAUAUGCCGCGGGCAAAGCCGCGCCCAAAAAUAACCGCCCGAAGGCCGGGGCGCCAAGUUCGUCCAGCGGAAAAAUGCCACAAAAACGGGUGGGCUAUAGCCUUGGGGGGUGGGGCUGGCCGACUUCGUCCGCCGGACUCGGAAUGCCGCGACACUUUGCGAGGGGCCUCCGUGUGCCAAAAAUAGGCCGUGGGCAAAGCCGUAUCCAAAAAUAACUGCCCGAAGGCCGGGGCGCCAAGUUCGUCUGGCGGAAUAAGGCCACAAAAACGGGUAGGCUAUAGCCUUGGGGGAUGGGGCUGGCCUACUUCGUCCGCCGGACUUGGAAUGCCGAGAGACUUUGCGAGGGGCCUCCGAGUGCCAAAAAUAGGCCACGGGCAAAGCCGUGCCCAAAAAUAACCGCCCGAAGGCCGGGGCGCCAAGUUCGGCCAGCGGAAAAUGGCCACAAAAACGGGUGAGCUAUAGCCUUGGGUGGUGGGGCUGGCCAACUUCGUCCGCCGGACUCGGAAUGCCGCGAGACUUUACGAGGGGCCACCGCGUGCCAAAAAUAGGCUGCAGGCAAAGCCGAGUCCAAAAAUAACCGCCCGAAGACCGGGGCGCCAAGUUCGUCCAGCGGAAAAAGGCCACAAAAACGGGUGGGCUAUAGCCUUGGGGGGUGGGGCUGGCCAACUUUGUCCGCCGGACUCGGAAUGCCACGAGACUUUACGAGGGGCCUCCGUGUGCCAAAAAUAGGCCGCGGGCAAAGCCGAAUCCAAAAAUAACCGCCCGAAGGCCGGGGCGCCAAGUUCGUCCAGCGGAAAAAGGCCACAAAAACGGGUGGGCUAUAGCCUUUGGGGGUGGAACUGGCCCACAUCGUCCGCCGGACUCGGAAUGCCGCGAGACUUUGCGAGGGGCCUCCAUGUGCCAAAAAUAGGCCACGGACAAAGCCGGGCCCAAAAUCAACCGCCCGAAGGCCGGAGCGCCAAGUUCGUCCAGCGGAAAAAGGCCCCAAAAACGGGUGGGCUAUAGCCUUGGGGGGUGGGGCUGGCCAACUUCGUCCGCCGGACUCGGAAUGCCGCGAGACUUUGCGAGGGGCCUCCGUGUGCCAAAAAUAGGCCGUGUGCAAAGCCGCAACCAUAAAUAACCACCCGAAGGCCGGGGCGCCAAGUUCGUCCAGCGGAAAAAGGCCACAAAAACGGGUGGGCUAUAGCCUUGGGGGGUGGGGCUAGCCAACUUCGUCCGCCGGACUCGGAAUGCCGCGAGACUUUGCGAGGGGCCUCCGUGUGCCAAAAAUAGGCCGCGGGCAAAGCCGCGCCCAAAAAUAACCGCCUGAAGGCCGGGGCUCCAAGUUCGUCCAGCGGAAAAAGGCCACAAAAAAGGGUGGGCUAUAGCCUUGGCGGGUGGGGCUGGACAACUUCGUCCGCCGGACUCGGAAUGCUGCGAGACUUUACGAGGGGCCUCCGUGUGCCAAAAAUAGGCCGCGGGCAAAGCCGCGCCCAAAAAUAACUGCCCCAAGGCCGGGGCGCCAAGUUCAUCCAGCGGAAAAAGGCCACAAAAAUGGGUGGGCUAUAGCCUUGGGGGGUGGGGCUGGCCCACUUCGUCCGCCGGACUCGGAAUGCCGAGAGACUUUGCGAGGGGACUCCGUGUGCCAAAAUUAGGCUGCGGGCAAAGCCACGGCCAAAAAUAACCGCCUGAAGGCCGGGGCGCCAAGUACUUCCAGCGGAAAAAGGCCACAAAAACGGGUGGGCUAUAGCCUUGGGGGGUGGGGCUGGCCAACUUCGUCCGCCGGACUCGGAAUGCCGCGAGCCUUUGCGAGGGGCCUCCGUGUGCCAAAAAUAGGCCGCGGGCAAAGCCGAAUAUAAAAAUAUCCACCCGAAGGCCGGGGCGCCAAGUUCGUCCAGCGGAAAAAGGCCACAAAAACGGGUGGGCUAUAGCCUUGGGGGGUGGAACUGGCCCACUUCGUCCGCCGGACUCGGAAUGCCGCGAGACUUUGCGAGGGGCCUCCGUGUGCCAAAAAUAGGCCGCGGACAAAGCCGGGCCCAAAAAUAACAGCCUGAAGGCCGGGGCGCCAUGUUCGUCCAGCGGAAAAAGCCCACAAAAACGGGUGGGCUAUAGCCUUGGGGGGUGGGGCUGGCCAACUUCGUCCGCCGGACUCGGAAUACCGCGAGACUUUACAAGGGGCCUCCGUGUGCCAAAAAUAGACCGCGGGCAAAGCCGGGCACAAAAAUAACCACCCGAAGGCCGGGGCGCCAAGUUCGUCCAGCGGAAAAAGGCCACAAAAACGGGUGGGCUAUAGCCUUGGGGGGUGGGGCUGGCCCACUUCGUCCGCUGGACUCGGAAUGCCGCGAGAUGUUGCGAGGGGCCUCCGUGUGCCAAAAAUAGGCCGCGGGCAAAGCCGCGUCGAAAAAUAACCGCCCGAAGACCGGGGCGCCAAGUUCGUCCAGCGGAAAAAGGCCACAAAAACGGGUGGGUUAUAGCCUUGGGGGAUGGGGCCGGCCAAUUUCUUCCGCCGGGCUCGGAAUGCUGUGAGGCUUUGCGAGGGGCCACCGUGUGCCAAAAAUAGGCCACGGGCAAAGCCGAUCCCAAAAAUAACCGCCCGAAGGCCGGGGCGCCAAGUUCGUCCAGCGGAAAAAGGCCACAAAAACGGGUGGGCUAUAGCCUUGGGGGAUGGGGCUGGCCUACUUCGUCCGCCGGACUUGGAAUGCCGAGAGACUUUGCGAGGGGCCUCCGAGUGCCAAAAAUAGGCCACGGGCAAAGCCGUGCCCAAAAAUAACCGCCCGAAGGCCGGGGCGCCAAGUUCGGCCAGCGGAAAAUGGCCACAAAAACGGGUGAGCUAUAGCCUUGGGUGGUGGGGCUGGCCAACUUCGUCCGCCGAACUCGGAAUGCCGCGAGACUUUACGAGGGGCCACCGCGUGCCAAAAAUAGGCUGCGGGCAAAGCCGAGUCCAAAAAUAACCGCCCGAAGACUGGGGCGCCAAGUUCGUCCAGCGGAAAAAGGCCACAAAAACGGGUGGGCUAUAGCCUUGGGGGGUGGGGCUGGCCAACUUUGUCCGCCGGACUCGGAAUGCCACGAGACUUUACGAGGGGCCUCCGUGUGCCAAAAAUAGGCCGCGGGCAAAGCCGAAUCCAAAAAUAACCGCCCGAAGGCCGGGGCGCCAAGUUCGUCCAGCGGAAAAAGGCCACAAAAACGGGUGGGCUAUAGCCUUUGGGGGUGGAACUGGCCCACAUCGUCCGCCGGACUCGGAAUGCCGCGAGACUUUGCGAGGGGCCUCCAUGUGCCAAAAAUAGGCCACGGACAAAGCCGGGCCCAAAAUCAACCGCCCGAAGGCCGGGACGCCAAGUUCGUCCAGCGGAAAAAGGCCACAAAAACGGGUGGGCUAUAGCCUUGGGGGAUGGGGCUGACCAACUUCGUCCGCCGGACUCGGAAUGCCGUGAGACUUUGCGAGGGGCCUCCGUGUGCCAAAAAUAUGCCGCGGGCAAAGCCGCGCCCAAAAAUAACCGCCUGAAGGCUGUGGCUCCAAGUUCGUCCAGCGGAAAAAGGCCACAAAAAAGGGUGGGCUAUAGCCUUGGCGGGUGGGGCUGGACAACUUCGUCCGCCGGACUCGGAAUGCUGCGAGACUUUGCGAGGGGCCUCCGUGUGCCAAAAAUAGGCCGCGGGCAAAGCCGCGCCCAAAAAUAACUGCCCCAAGGCCGGGGCGCCAAGUUCAUCCAGCGGAAAAAGGCCACAAAAACGGGUGGGCUAUAGCCUUGGGGGGUGGGGCUGGCCCACUUCGUCCGCCGGACUCGGAAUGCCGAGAGACUUUGCGAGGGGACUCCGUGUGCCAAAAUUAGGCUGCGGGCAAAGCCACGGCCAAAAAUAACCGCCUGAAGGCCGGGGCGCCAAGUACUUCCAGCGGAAAAAGGCCACAAAAACGGGUGGGCUAUAGCCUUGGGGGGUGGGGCUGGCCAACUUCGUCCGCCGGACUCGGAAUGCCGCGAGCCUUUGCGAGGGGCCUCCGUGUGCCAAAAAUAGGCCGCGGGCAAAGCCGCGUCCAAAAAUAACCACCCGAAGGCCGGGGCGCCAAGUUCGUCCAGCGGAAAAAGGCCACAAAAACGGGUGGGCUAUAGCCUUGGGGGGUGGAACUGGCCCACUUCGUCCGCCGGACUGGGAAUGCCACGAGACUUUGCGAGGGGCCUCCGUGUGCCAAAAAUAGGCCGCGGACAAAGCCGGGCCCAAAAAUAACAGCCUGAAGGCCGGGGCGCCAUGUUCGUCCAGCGGAAAAAACCCACAAAAACGGGUGGGCUAUAGCCUUGGGGGGUGGGGCUGGCCAGCUUCGUCCGCAGGACUCGGAAUGGCGUGAGACUUUGCGAGGUGCCUCCGUGUGCCAAAAAUAGGCCGCGGGCACAGCCUCGCCAAAAUUUAACCGCCCGAGGCCGGGCCGCCAUGAUCGUCCAGCGGAAAAAGCCCACAAAAACGGGUGGGCUAUAGCCUUGGGGGGUGGGGCUGGCCGACUUCGUCCGCCGGACUCGGAAUGGCGCGAGACUUUGCGAGGCACCUCCAUGUGCCAAAAAUAGGCCGCGGGCACAGCCGCGCCCAAAAAUAACUGCCCGAAGGCCGGGGCGCCAAGUUCGUCCAGCGGAAAAAGCCCACAAAAACGGGUGGGCUAUAGCCUUGGGGGGUGGGGCUGGCCGACUUCGUCCGCCGGACUCGGAAUGGCGCGAGACUUUGCGAGGGGCCUCCGUGUGCCAAAAAUAGGCCGUGGGCAAAGCCGCGCCCAAAAAUAACCGCCCGAAGGCCGGGGCGCCAAGUUCGUCCAGCGGAAAAAGCCCAUAAAAACGGGUGGGCUAUAGCCUUGGGGGGUGGGGCUGGCCGACUUCGUCCGCCGGACUCGGAAUGGCGCGAGACUUUGCGAGGCACCUCCGUGUGCCAAAAAUAGGCCGUGGGCACAGCCGCGCCCAAAAAUAACUGCCCGAAGGCCGGGGCGCCAAGUUCGUCCAGCGGACAAAGCCCACAAAAACGGGUGGGCUAUAGCCUUGGGGGGUGGGGCUGGCCCACUUCAUCCGCCGGACUCGGAAUGGCGCGAGACUUUGCGAGGGGCCUCCGUGUGCCAAAAAUAGGUAGCGGGCAAAGCCGCGCCCAAAAAUAACAGCCCGAAGGCCGGGGCGCCCAGUUCGUCCAGCGAAAAAAGGCCACAAAAACGGGUGGGCUACAGCCUUGGGGGGUGGGGCUGGCCAACUUCGUCCGCCGGACUCGGAAUGCCGCGAGACUUUGCGAGGGGCCUCCGUGUGCUAAAAAUAGGCUGCGGGCAAAGCCGCGAUAAAAAAUAACCGCCCGAAGGCCGGGGCGCCAAGUUCGUCCAGCGGAAAAAGGCCACAAAAACGGGUGGGCUAUAGCCUUGGGGGGUGGGGCUGGCGAACUUCGUCCGCCGGACUCGGAAUGCCGUGAGACUUUGCGAGGGGCCUCCGUGUACCAAAAAUACUCCACGGUCAAAGCCGCGCCCAAAAAUAACAGCCAAAAGUCCGGGGCGCCAAGUUCGUCCAGCGGAAAAAGGCCACAAAAACGGGUGGGCUAUAGCCUUGGGGGGUGGGGCUGGCACACUUCGUCCGCCGGACUCGGCAUGCCGCGAGACUUUACGAGGGGCCUCCGUGUACCAAAAAUAGGCCGCGGGCAGAGCCGCGCCCAAAAAUAACCCCCCGAAGGACGGGGCGGCAAGUUCGUCCGGCGGAAAAAGGCCACAAAAACGGGUGGGCUAUAACCUUGAGGGGUGGGGCUGGCCAACUUCGUCCGCCGGACUCGGAAUGCCGCGAGACUUUACGAGGGAUCUCCGUGCGCCAUAAAUAAUCCGCGGGCAAAGCCGCGCCUAAAAAUAACCACCCGAAGGCCGGGGCGCCAAGUUCGUCCAGCGGUAAAAGGCCACAAAAACGGGUGGAAUAUAAUCUUGGGGGGUGGGGCUGGCCCACUUCGUCUGCCGGACUCGGCAUGCCGCGGGACUUUGCGAGGGGCCUCCGUGUGCCAAAAAUAGGCCGCGGGCGAAGCCGCGCCCCAAAAUUACUGCCCAAAGGCCGGGGCGCCAAGUUCGUCCAGCGGAAAAAGGCCACAAAAACGGGUGGGCUAUUGCCUUGGGGGGUGGGGCUGGCCGACUUCGUCCGCCAGACUCAGAAUGCCUUCAGACUUUGCGACGGGCCUCCGUGUGCCAAAAAUAGGCCGCGGGCAAAGGCGUGCCCAAAAAUAACAGCCCGAAGGCCGGGGCGCCAAGUUCGUCCGGCGGAAAAAGGCCACAAAAACGGGUGGGCUAUAGCCCUGGGGGGUGGGGCUGGCCAUCUUCGUCCGCCGGACUCGGAAUGCCGUGAGACUUUGCGAGGGAUUCCGUGUGCCAUAAAUAAUCCGUGGGCAAAGCCGCGCCUAAAAAUAACCACCCGAAGGCCGGGGCGCCAAGUUCGUCCAGCGGUAAAAGGCCACAAAAAUGGGUGGGCUAUAGCCUUGGGGGGUGGCGCUGGCCCACUUCGUCCGCCGGACUUGGCAUGCCGCGAGACUUUGCGAGGGGCCUCCGUGUGCCAAAAAUAGGCCGUGGGCAAACCGCGCCCAAAAAUAACCGCCCGAAGGCCGGGGCGCCAAGUUCGUCCAGCGGAAAAAGGCCACAAAAACUGGUGGGCUAUAGCCUUGGGGGGUGCGGCUGGCCAACUUCGUCCGCCGGACUCGGAAUGCCGUGA
rnacentral:lncRNA from 1 species